rnacentral:rRNA from 1 species
GACGAACGCUGGCGGCGUGCUUAACACAUGCAAGUCGAACGAAGAGCGAUGGACGCUUGCUUCUAUCAAUCUUAGUGGCGAACGGGUGAGUAACGCGUAAUCAACCUGCCCUUCAGAGGGGGACAACAGUUGGAAACGACUGCUAAUGCCGCAUACGAUCUGACCUCGGCAUCGAGGAUAGAUGAAAGGUGGCCUCUAUUUAUAAGCUAUCACUGAAGGAGGGGAUUGCGUCUGAUUAGCUAGUUGGAGGGGUAACGGCCCACCAAGGCGAUGAUCAGUAGCCGGUCUGAGAGGAUGAACGGCCACAUUGGGACUGAGACACGGCCCAGACUCCUACGGGAGGCAGCAGUGGGGAAUCUUCCGCAAUGGACGAAAGGCUGACGGAGCAACGCCGCGUGAGUGAUGACGGCCUUCGGGUUGUAAAGCUCUGUUAAUCGGGACGAAAGGCCUUCUUGCGAAUAGUUAGAAGGAUUGACGGUACCGGAAUAGAAAGCCACGGCUAACUACGUG